AGCAGAGUCAUGUUGCACACAGAUGGCUGAACGUUGUUAUGCGUGUGACAUGUGAAAGUGCGCGUAAUAAUGUUCCGUUGUUUGUGAGCGACAUUGCGUUGUCCCA
rnacentral:pre_miRNA from 1 species